UGAAAUGGGAAAAAACUUGAAGGAGGC
rnacentral:piRNA from 1 species